rnacentral:rRNA from 1 species
UACGUAGGGUGCAAGCGUUAAUCGGAAUUACUGGGCGUAAAGCGUGCGCAGGCGGUUUGGUAAGACAGAUGUGGAAUCCCCGGGCUCAACCUGGGAAUUGCAUUUGUGACUGCCCGGCUAGAGUGUGUCAGAGGGGGGUAGAAUUCCACGUGUAGCAGUGAAAUGCGUAGAUAUGUGGAGGAAUACCGAUGGCGAAGGCAGCCCCCUGGGAUAACACUGACGCCUCAUGACACGAAAG